rnacentral:rRNA from 1 species
UACUAGAAUAUUAAAAGUUAUGGCCUUUAAAUUUAAAAAAUUUGGCGGUGUUUUAGUCUAGUUAGAGGAACCUGUUUUAUAAACGAUACAACACGCAUUAUUUUACUUAUUUUAGUGGAGCAGUUUGUAUACCGUCAUUAUAAGAUAAUUUAGGAGAAAAUAUUAUUGGAAUCAUAUUUGUGAAUAUAUUAGAUCAAGGUGCAGCUUAUAGAUAAGUAAAUAUGGGUUACAAUAAAAUUAAUUUAAUAUGAAUUAAGUAUUUAAAUAUAUUUAUGAAGGAGGAUUUAAUUGUAAGGGAAGGAGUAGUGAGAUUUUCUGAUAAAAGCUCUAAAUUAUGUACAUAUCGCCCGUCGCUC